CCUACGGGUGGCAGCAGUGAGGAAUAUUGGUCAAUGGGCGGAAGCCUGAACCAGCCAAGCAGCGUGCAGGAUGACGGCCCUAUGGGUUGUAAACCUCUUUUAUCCGAGAACAACGCGCCUGACGUGUACCGCUCUGCAUGUAUCCGAAGAAUAAGCAUCGGCUAACUCCGUGCCAGCAGCCGCGGUAAUACGGAAGGUACGCGCGUUAUCCGGAUUUAUUGGGUUUAAAGGGUGCGUAGGCCGGCUGUUAAGUUUGCGGUGAAAUUUCCGGGCUCAACCCGGGCCGAGCAGCGCAAACUGGCAUACUUGAGUCGGCGGGAAGCACGCGGAAUGCGUGGUGUAGCGGUGAAAUGCUUAGAUAUCGCGCAGAACUCCGAUUGCGAAGGCAGCGUACCGGCGCCAGACUGACGCUGAGGCACGAAAGCGUGGGGAUCGAACAGGAUUAGAUACCCCAGUAGUC
rnacentral:rRNA from 1 species